AGGAUCCACACAGCUUUCAGAGGACCUGGGGCAGAUGCAUGCUGGUGCCAGGAUCUUCAUUUGUUUCUUUCAGAGGCCCUCCCUGGUGAGCAUGGUCCUCACUUUUAUGUCAACAGGGCUAAGGAAGAUUUUGGGGGCAGAGAGAAUGCUGAGAAGAAGGGCAGAGUCUGAGGAGUUGCAAGCCAUUCUCAGAAGAAACAACAAGGGAAGUUCAUAGAUGAGGUACGUGUGGAGGACAGAGAACAACUUGCAUUCAUGGAGUCGUUCUCUCAUUCCUCCAUGUGGCUGUGGGGCACUGGACUCCCGGAUGUCAGGCUUGGUGACGAAGGAAGGGCCUUUACCUCCUCGCGGUCCCUGAAAUCUGAUUUUGGGAGUCUGUAUUUCUGCAACAUUUUGCAACUAUAGAAAUACAAAGAGAUCAUUUUGGCCUGUAAUCUAGGCCCAGAAGGGUGAGUCAGAAGAAAGCUGAGUUGGAGGCUGGCCUGGGAGACACACCAGGCCUUCUCAAAACAGGAGUAGCGGCUCUCUUCCCACCCCCCACCCCUUUCUUCUCCUUUCAGCGUGGC
rnacentral:lncRNA from 1 species